rnacentral:rRNA from 1 species
GCUACGGGGGGCAGCAGUGAGGAAUAUUGGUCAAUGGGCUUACGCCUGAACCAGCCAAGUCGCGUGAGGGAAGACUGCCCUAUGGGUUGUAAACCUCUUUUGUCAGGGAGCAACGCCGGCUACGUGUAGCCGGACUGAGAGUACCCGAAGAAAAAGCAUCGGCUAACUCCGUGCCAGCAGCCGCGGUAAUACGGAGGAUGCGAGCGUUAUCCGGAUUUAUUGGGUUUAAAGGGUGCGUAGGCGGACUGGAAAGUCAGCGGUAAAAUCGAGAGGCUCAACCUCUUUCCGCCGUUGAAACUGUCGGUCGUGAGUGGGCGAGAAGUAUGCGGAAUGCGUGGUGUAGCGGUGAAAUGCAUAGAUAUCACGCAGAACUCCGAUUGCGAAGGCAGCAUACCGGCGCCCGACUGACGCUGAGGCACGAAAGCGUGGGUAUCGAACAGGAUUAGAUACCCGUGUAGUC